rnacentral:rRNA from 1 species
GAUGAACGCUGGCGGCGUGCCUAAUACAUGCAAGUCGAGCGAACGGACGAGAAGCUUGCUUCUCUGAUGUUAGCGGCGGACGGGUGAGUAACACGUGGAUAACCUACCUAUAAGACUGGGAUAACUUCGGGAAACCGGAGCUAAUACCGGAUGAUAUUUUGAACCGCAUGGUUCAAAAGUGAAAGACGGUCUUGCUGUCACUUAUAGAUGGAUCCGCGCUGCAUUAGCUAGUUGGUAAGGUAACGGCUUACCAAGGCAACGAUGCAUAGCCGACCUGAGAGGGUGAUCGGCCACACUGGAACUGAGACACGGUCCAGACUCCUACGGGAGGCAGCAGUAGGGAAUCUUCCGCAAUGGGCGAAAGCCUGACGGAGCAACGCCGCGUGAGUGAUGAAGGUCUUCGGAUCGUAAAACUCUGUUAUUAGGGAAGAACAUAUGUGUAAGUAACUGUGCACAUCUUGACGGUACCUAAUCAGAAAGCCACGGCUAACUACGUGCCAGCAGCCGCGGUAAUACGUAGGUGGCAAGCGUUAUCCGGAAUUAUUGGGCGUAAAGCGCGCGUAGGCGGUUUUUUAAGUCUGAUGUGAAAGCCCACGGCUCAACCGUGGAGGGUCAUUGGAAACUGGAAAACUUGAGUGCAGAAGAGGAAAGUGGAAUUCCAUGUGUAGCGGUGAAAUGCGCAGAGAUAUGGAGGAACACCAGUGGCGAAGGCGACUUUCUGGUCUGCAACUGACGCUGAUGUGCGAAAGCGUGGGGAUUAAACAGGAUUAGAUACCCUGGUAGUCCACGCCGUAAACGAUGAGUGCUAAGUGUUAGGGGGUUUCCGCCCCUUAGUGCUGCAGCUAACGCAUUAAGCACUCCGCCUGGGGAGUACGACCGCAAGGUUGAAACUCAAAGGAAUUGACGGGGACCCGCACAAGCGGUGGAGCAUGUGGUUUAAUUCGAAGCAACGCGAAGAACCUUACCAAAUCUUGACAUCCUUUGACAACUCUAGAGAUAGAGCCUUCCCCUUCGGGGGACAAAGUGACAGGUGGUGCAUGGUUGUCGUCAGCUCGUGUCGUGAGAUGUUGGGUUAAGUCCCGCAACGAGCGCAACCCUUAAGCUUAGUUGCCAUCAUUAAGUUGGGCACUCUAAGUUGACUGCCGGUGACAAACCGGAGGAAGGUGGGGAUGACGUCAAAUCAUCAUGCCCCUUAUGAUUUGGGCUACACACGUGCUACAAUGGACAAUACAAAGGGCAGCGAAACCGCGAGGUCAAGCAAAUCCCAUAAAGUUGUUCUCAGUUCGGAUUGUAGUCUGCAACUCGACUACAUGAAGCUGGAAUCGCUAGUAAUCGUAGAUCAGCAUGCUACGGUGAAUACGUUCCCGGGUCU